CGCGCGGGCUCUGCCGGGAGCUGUAGGCCGCGGUGCUGUGCCCCCGCGGAGCGCUCGCGAGGAGCCGGCGUUCCUUCGCUUUGCCAAAUCAGAGCCCGGAGCGGCUCUCCGCGUUAUUUUUGGCCGGGCGGGUUGCCGUGGCGGCCUGGAGACGGCAAUUGGGAUUGAUAAGAAAUUGUCAAAAAGCACUGAGGUUCAUGGCAGGACAAAGAAGAUGGACUUGCUACAUUCAGUAGCGAAGACUUAACAACAAAGGAAAAUAAGCAUUGCUGCAGAGAUCCUGGGCCACGCAGCAUACCCACAGCCAAACUUCAGAUCUCCGGGCUUCUUGUUUCUGUCCUCCUUCCCUGUUUAUUUCCUUUGCGCUGCAAAAACGUUGUGUGCAGCUGGGAUACAGCUGGCAUGAAGGGGCCCAUGUGUAACAUCCUCAGCACACCAGCACUCACCGAUGUGGCCUUGGUUACAAUUGAAAGCCAUCCCGGAUCUUUCCCCUUCCCUCAUAUAUGUAGAAGCCUGCACUGAGCCUGGUGGAGCGGCCUCAACCUGGGCAGCAUUCCCAGGGGAUUUUAGAUAUGGAAGAAAGAGCUCAGACAGCUAAGCAGAGAUGAUUAAUGAUGUCCUAUCCUACCCCAGAUGAAUAGCAGAAACUCCAUGUCCGCAUACGUGCUCUGAGCCCACAGAAACUGUCCCAUACUAAGCAGUGGCCACAGUGGGUGCAGAGCUUAUAGAUAUGGUGCAGAACUUUGUGUGUGUCAACAUUCAAUCCUUUUUGACUAUCAGGGAGAUGUGCAAGCUUAAAAUUAUUCUCAGUGCUGUCUUCUUGGAGAGCCCCUCUGAUUCCUGCAAAAACCUGUACCUGCAGGCACUGGUGAUAGAAUGACUUAUAGGUAAGCUUGGAGGGCUCUUCCAUGGACGACUGGGGACCACUGGGACAAGUGCAUUUCAUGGAGUCAUAGAAUCGUGGAAUCAUUAAGGCCUGAAAAGAUCUCCAAGAUCCCCAAGUCCAAGCCCAAACCACCCCCACCAUGUCCAUUGACCAUGUCCCCAUGUGCCACAUCUCCAUGGUUCUCAAACACCUCCAGGGAUGGGGACUCCACUGUUCCCCUGAGCAGCCUGUGCCAAUGUCUGAUCACUCUUUUGGAGAGGAUUUUUUUCCUGAAACAAACCACCUCAAAGCUCAAGGUGUUCGUUUUCCCCCCCAGCUUUAUUCCUUGGCACUUCUUCCACAGGCACCAGCACUAUUAUCCCCAAACCCAAAGCACUUAGCACGUUCUCAGCCUGUUGCUGGCUGUGGCGAAGCAAGAACCUGGCCAUUGGUACAAUCAUUCCUUUAACUAUCAGUGCUCGUCUGGAUGCUGCUAUACACUGGCUGGUUUUGUUUGCUAUCCUAGAGAACUCUAUAGAAUUGCUAAUGUUGGAAAAGUCCACUAUUAAACAAGUCGCACCCGAACCCAUACCCACUAUGAUGCCUGUCACAGAUGUACAGAAGCAUCCCUGGCUGAGAUCUGCUUGCACUGUGGCAAUGCUACAUCCAGCUGCAGAGAAGCAGUAGUGAGAAUAUGACAGCAGUACUAAUGUGCUUUGCAAUGAGUCAUUAAUAAAAAGAAAAGUGCUCUGAGGUGACAGAGUUCCUAUUAAUCUUAACAGCAUUAGGCUGUUUUGUUAAGUUUAAGAGAUAAUUGCUAUAGUGACACGU